rnacentral:lncRNA from 1 species
CGGCCUCGACGUGAUCUUCGAUGAGGCUUCUCCAGAAUGAGGCUCUUUCUGUAGACAUCUAGUACAUGCAAGCAUUUUCCCAUUGGUGAGAUUGGCGUGCUGGGAGAGCAAAACUUAAGAAUAAGCUUGUUCACAAACUCUUCGUCCUGCAUGUAUACAUACAUAAGUAUAAUGUAUGUAUUUAUGUAGGCGUCAAUUAAUUAGAUUUUGUGAUUGGCAAUAUAUAGUUUAUAACUAGAGUAAUAGAACUGACCUUAGCAUUGUUGGUUUCAACAGCAACUAGCUUGUAAAGAACCUGUAGUGGCAACUGAUUCUCAAGCAUCAGCAUAUCUCGCUUGAUAAAGGGCAAGAUAUAAAGCUUGCCAUGAUUGCUGA